GGGUUCCCACUAGCCUUAAAUGUCUGAACUGUUUCCCUCUUUCCCUUUCUUUCUUAUCUUUCUUCUUUUUCGUCUCUUUCAUGGCGGUGGCGAUUUUUUUUCACCCUCUCUCUGCCCUAUUUUGGUUCAGUCAUCGGCGGUCUCUAAUUCGCUUGGUGCAGGUCGGGAACUGUUUCGCUUCUUGAUCUUGUAGUUCAUGUUCUUGAGUUUCCCCUGCUGUUAGGGGGGAAAAAUUGGGCGAAUUGGAUCCCGCCUUGCAUCAACUGAAUCCGAGACCGCGAUGAAGAUUGCAUGGAUCUAGCGUCUUUUUCCUGAUGCAUUUUCUUCCAAGAAGUUGAUCAGUGUAUGGCUUGAUUAGAACACAUGAUCGUGAGUGUGGGCCUGAGCUUCGGCCAUUGAAGGAGUUUUGUACAGAUUGGAAGUUUUGUUCGCCCAGUCUGUGGGUGGACCAUGGCUCCUCAACGAGGUAUUUACAGUUUGAAUGCUUAGUUGGUGGUGUUUGUAUUUGGUGUUUGUAUAUAUAUAUAUAUUAAGAAUGUGGAAGAAACAUUGCUGUUUGACAGUAUCAUACUAAAUGAAAUCAAGCGAGUUAUUCUUAAGAAC